rnacentral:rRNA from 1 species
AAUAGAUACCCUGGUAGUCCACGCCGUAAACGAUGGAUACUAGCUGUUUGAGCGCAAGUUUGAGUGGCUAAGCGAAAGUGAUAAGUAUCCCACCUGGGGAGUACGGGCGCAAGCCUGAAACUCAAAGGAAUUGACGGGGGCCCGCACAAGCGGUGGAGCAUGUGGUUUAAUUCGAUGAUACGCGAGGAACCUUACCAGGGCUUAAAUGUAGAUUGACGUAUUUGGAAACAGAUAUUUCUUCGGACAAUUUACAAGGUGCUGCAUGGUUGUCGUCAGCUCGUGCCGUGAGGUGUCAGGUUAAGUCCUAUAACGAGCGCAACCCCUGUUGUUAGUUGCCAGCGAGUAAUGUCGGGAACUCUAGCAAGACUGCCAGUGUAAACUGUGAGGAAGGUGGGGAUGACGUCAAAUCAUCACGGCCCUUACGUCCUGGGCCACACACGUGCUACAAUGGCCGGUACAGAGAGCAGCCACUUAGCGAUAAGGAACGAAUCUAUAAAGCCGGUCACAGUUCGGAUCGGAGUCUGCUAAC